UACGUAGGGUGCUAGCGUUGUUCGGAAUCAUUGGGCGUAAAGCGCGUGCAGGCGGUUAGUUAAGUCAGAUGUGAAAUCCCUGGGCUCAACCGAGGAAGUGCAUUUGAAACUAAUUAGCUAGAAGAUGGCAGAGGAAGGUGGAAUUCCAAGUGUAGAGGUGAAAUUCGUAGAUAUUUGGAGGAAUACCGGUGGCGAAGGCGGCCUUCUGGACCAUUCUUGACGCUGAGACGCGAAAGCGUGGGGAGCAAACAGG
rnacentral:rRNA from 1 species